rnacentral:lncRNA from 1 species
AAAGCUUGUCCAAAGAGAGAGUUGCCGAAAAGCCUUAAUUUCAGUAGAGGGUUGUUCUCAAUAGCUAUGCAUUGGACGGAGAACCUGCCUAUAUGUUCAAUUGAGGAAGCAUGGGGGUCCUCCCCGUUGAACAAAGUGAAGUUUGGUACUUUGAAACCCGGAGACAGCGGUAUUUGAUCGAUAUAGGCUGGGUAUGGCUUUCUGUAAGUAGGCCUUUCCCC